rnacentral:lncRNA from 1 species
AGUGGGUAAUCGGAACGUAGUCCGAUAAGCCUAGAGGACGUUGUACAGGUUCUCGACCCACUGUCCCUUGGACCGAUCAAGCCUGGCCUUGAGCCCCUGCAAAAUGGUACGAUUUGUUACCUCAGUUUCUCCGUUUGUUUGGGGAUGGGCGACCGAGGUGAAGCGGUGGUCAAUGCCGAGCUCGGAGCAGAAUUCUCUAAAAUGGAUG